rnacentral:rRNA from 1 species
UACGGGGGGGGCAAGCGUUGUUCGGAAUUACUGGGCGUAAAGGGCUCGUAGGUGGCCAACUAAGUCGGACGUGAAAUCCCUCAGCUUAACUGGGGAACUGCGUCCGAUACUGGAUGGCUUGAGUUUGGGAGAGGGAUGCGGAAUUCCAGGUGUAGCGGUGAAAUGCGUAGAUAUCUGGAGGAACACCGGUGGCGAAGGCGGCAUCCUGGACCAACACUGACACUGAGGAGCGAAAGCCAGGGGAGCAAAGCGGG